AAAAAAAAAAAAAAAAAUCCUUGAGAGCUUCAUUUACUGUGAUCACAGAUUAGCGUAGACAAAGUUGGUCAAAGAAUAGAUCAAUUCCAAGGGGAAAAAGCCACAGCUAAAAUUACUAAACACAAAACACAAAUCUUCCAGCUCUGUCCAACAAUCCUUCUCAAGCACUUAUAGGAAUGCUUCCUCUCAAACCCUCAUUGAUUGGGAAUCUUAGUGUAUGACCUAAGAGUACCUUCUCAUAAUCUCAACUAAUUGCAAUUCAAAUAGAAUUAGAUCUGUUAUCUCACAUAAAGUGAUGUACAACUGCAUAACUCAAUUUCUGUCAAAUUCAAUUCAAUAGAAUUAGACUAAUUUUCUCAUACAAAAUCAGGCACCUCAAGCCAUGCAAGAACUCUCAAACACAUACAUUUAAAACAUAAAUCAUCAUUUAACAACUAGAAUAGAUCCAACCAGUAACUAAAAUCAUCAUAGCAUUAUUCAACUGUUAAGUGCUGGAGAUUUAUAAUCACACAGGGACAUCCCUUUACGUAUACAGCAGCUUAUGAGAGCCAUAAAGCUCCAUCAUCUCUGCAAAUCUUGCUAAAAUCCCAUAAAAAGCAUUAAAAAAAAGAGGGUAAACUUAAAACAACUGGCAUAUCUAAACCGAG
rnacentral:misc_RNA from 1 species